rnacentral:rRNA from 1 species
GCAUAUCAAUAAGCGGAGGAAAAGAAAAUAACAAUGAUUCCCCUAGUAACUGCGAGUGAAGAGGGACAAGCUCAAAUUUUAAAUCCAUCGGGUUUUACCUGAUCGAGUUGUAAUUUGAAGAAGCGUUUUCUGCGUAUUUGGUCAGCCUAAGUCCUAUUGAAUGAGGCAUCAUGGAGGGUGAUAAUCCCGUCCGGUUGAUCAUUUGCGUUUUACGAUACGCUUUCUAAGAGUCAAGUUGUUUGGGAUUGCAGCUUAAAAUGGGAGGUAAAUUUCUCCUAAGGCUAAAUAACGGCGAGAGACCGAUAGCGAACAAGUACCGUGAGGGAAAGAUGAAAAGAACUUUGAAAAGAGAGUUAAACAGUACGUGAAAUUGUUGAAAGGGAAACGAUUGAAGCCAGUCGUACCUUCGGGUAAUCAGCCUUUUCGGGUGCGAUUCUGUGGGGUUUGAGGAGCUUAACACCUUCAUGCUUUGCAUAUUCGUGCUCUUGGGUGUACCUGCCCGUGUGGUUGGUUAACAUCAAUUUCGGGCACCAUAAAAUGGCUGGAGGAAUGUAGCUUCGAUCUUGUAUUGAAGUGUUAUAGCCUUCGGUAGAUGUGGUGAUCGAGAUUGAGGAUUGCAACGGAUACCUUUCGGGGCUACCUGUCUGGUCUCUGAUCG